rnacentral:rRNA from 1 species
GACGAACGCUGGCGGCGUGCUUAACACAUGCAAGUCGAACGGAAAGGCCCUGCUUUUGUGGGGUGCUCGAGUGGCGAACGGGUGAGUAACACGUGAGUAACCUGCCCUUGACUUUGGGAUAACUUCAGGAAACUGGGGCUAAUACCGGAUAGGAGCUCCUGCUGCAUGGUGGGGGUUGGAAAGUUUCGGCGGUUGGGGAUGGACUCGCGGCUUAUCAGCUUGUUGGUGGGGUAGUGGCUUACCAAGGCUUUGACGGGUAGCCGGCCUGAGAGGGUGACCGGCCACAUUGGGACUGAGAUACGGCCCAGACUCCUACGGGAGGCAGCAGUGGGGGAUAUUGCACAAUGGGCGGAAGCCUGAUGCAGCAACGCCGCGUGCGGGAUGAAGGCCUUCGGGUUGUAAACCGCUUUCGCCUGUGACGAAGCGUGAGUGACGGUAAUGGGUAAAGAAGCACCGGCUAACUACGUG